GUGCUUUCUUCGGUAGCACGGGUACUGGAAUGAUGAAGAGAAUUUUAGCGUGGCCUCCGUACAAGGAUGAUGUGCACAUCCAUGUAAUGUUAUAUUUUUGC
rnacentral:snRNA from 1 species